ensembl:lncRNA
UAUAUAGGGAAUAGGGCUCUGGUCAAAAGUAGUGCACUAUAUAGGGAAUAGGGCUCUGGUCAAAAGUAGUGCACUAUAUAGGAAAUAGGGUGCCAUUUGGGACGUAGACUCAGUGUUCUGAGUGUAGGAACUGGAGAGUGGAUCCUUAAAGCAGUACAAAUCAAAAUCAAUUUUAUUUAUAUAGCCCUUCUUACAUCAGCUGAUAUCUCAAAGUGCUGUACAGAAACCCAGCCUAAAACCCCAAACAGCAAGCAAUGCAGGUGUAGAAGCACGGUGGCUAGGAAAAACUCCCUAGAAAGGCCAAAACCUAGGAAGAAACCUAGAGAGGAACCAGGCUAUGGGUGGUGGCCAGUCCUCUUCUGGCUGUGCCGGGUGGAGAUUAUAACAGAACAUGGCCAAGAUGUUAAAAUGUUCAUAAAUGACCAGCAUGGUCAAAUAAUAAUAAUCACAGUAGUUAUCGAGGGUGCAGCAAGUCAGCACCUCAGGAGUAAAUGUCAGUUGGCUUUUCAUAGCCGAUCAUUAAGAGUAUCUCUACCGCUCCUGCUGUCUCUAGAGAGUUGAAACAGCAGGUCUGGGACAGGUAGCACGUCCGGUGAACAGGUCAGGGUUCCAUAGCCGCAGGCAGAACAGGUGUAAGCAGCCACGUAGGUGACAGAAGCCAGGUGAGAGGAUUCUCAGGUGUCCUGAGUUGGGAAACUGGCCUUUGUUUAUGCAGGAUUUAAAGGAGCAAUCUGGGAUUGGUACAUACAUAUAUAUAUAUAUAUAUAUAUUUUAACUUUGAUUCUUGAAGAAUAUAACUUAGAAAUAAAUGAAUCUAGUUAAAUUGUCUGACCCCAUCAGAACUCUAAAAUAUAUGAUUGCAUCACCAGGGAAAACAAUAGGCUGUUCCAUUGACUGUUCCAUCAGUUAUUGAACCCUCAAUAGGCUGACCUGUUUUCCCUGUGAUACAGUCCCACUCUCACCUGAUGUGUGAUGUGAACGUUGCGGGACGGUUUCCCCAGGCGCAGAUUAAGCCAAGUCCUGGAAUUAAAAGCAGGAUAAUCUCUAGUGUAAUAGGUUUUUAUCCUAAGCGCUAGGCUUAAUCUGUGGAAACCGGCCCUCCAUGUUGUAAAACAGACUUUGUAUUGAAACAUC